rnacentral:rRNA from 1 species
UGCAGGCUGAAACCCGCCUGUAUGAAGUUGGAAUCGCUAGUAAUCGCGGAUCAGCAUGCCGCGGUGAAUACGUUCCCGGGCCUUGUACACACCGCCCGUCACACCAUGAGAGUCGGAACACCCGAAGUCCGUAGUCUAACCGCAAGGGGACGCGGCGAAGGUGGGUUCGAUAAUUGGGGUGAAGUCGUAACAAGGUAUC